UAGUGCUAUUAUUCAAACACUUUUUAUUCUUCAAGGUUUCAUGACAUUUGAAACUUUUACCAGUGCAACACCUAGGAUUUGAUGUGUGUGAACUUUGACCAUUUGUUCUGCAGUUUCCAGGAUGAAGGUCAAAUGAAUUUGCUAACAUUUGGCCUCGAGUCUUGAGUCUUUUAGCUCCUACGACCAAGCAUCACACGGAACUGUUGGAAUCGUGCACCUGCUACAAGUACCUUUGAAUGUAUAUUUAUCUUAUAAAGAGGAAGUGGACGACACGAUUUGGAAAUCUGUAACCCUACAACAUUGUGAUGAAACGCACCUUAACCGAUAGUUUAUCAGAGAAGAGCCAGAGCAAGAGCAAACUCGCCCAGUGCUUUCCAGGAUUCUCUACAGUUGGGUUCUAUCUGAUCUUGUGGAAGCAAAAACCCAAAGGAGCCAGUGUCCCGGAGUUCUAUAGUAAAACCGAUUUCACACACCUGAUUUGCCUCCUUUGGUAAACAUAUAUGUAAGGCAACUACAAGUGUUAAAAAGGCAUCGAUCCAAAUUCUGGUAUUGACAAAAGUAUUUGUAAAAGUUAAGUUCAGAAAUUGUACU